GCGGAAGGAUCAUUAUUGAAUAAACUUGGUUUAGGCUGCUGCUAUCUCUUUGGAGAAUGUGCACGCUUAUUCCGAUUUUAUAAACCCACCUGUGCACUUUUUGUAGAUCUGAAAAUACUUUUCAAGAUGGUAAACAUCUUGGUUAUAGGAAUUGCUGUGGUGUUUUUAUGCCCAGCUUUUCCUUGUAUUUUUUCAGAUCUAUGUUUUAAAUCUAUACUCCAAUUUAAAAGUAUUAGAAUGGUUAUAAACAAAAUUAAUACAACUUUCAACAACGGAUCUCUUGGCUCUUGCAUCGAUGACGAACGCAGCGAAAUGCGAUAAGUAAUGUGAAUUGCAGAAUUCAGUGAAUCAUCGAAUCUUUGAACGCACCUUGCGCUCCUUGGUACUCCGAGGAGCAUGCCUGUUUGAGUGUCAUGAAAUUCUCAACCUUUCAAGCUUUUUUUGGCUAGUUAGGCUUGGACUGUGGAAGCUUGCUGGUUUCUAGCAACUCAGCUCUUCUUAAAUGCAUUAGCAAGAUUAAUCACUURAAUCAUCUUUGAUAUGAUAAUUAUCUAUAUCACUAAUGAGCCAGUGUUUUUCUUUUUUCAAAGAAAAGAUCUUGCUUCUAAUUUAUCAAUCUUGAUUGAUAUUUGAAUCAUUGACCUCAAA
rnacentral:rRNA from 1 species